UACGAAGGGGCUAGCGUUGCUCGGAAUCACUGGGCGUAAGGUGCGUAGGCGGGUUUUAAGUCAGAGGUGAAUCCUGGAGCUCAACUCCAGAACUGCCUUUGAUACUGAAAUCUUGAGUAUGGGAGAGGUGAGUGGAACUGCGAGUGUAGAGGUGAAAUUCGUAGAUAUUCGCAAGAACACCAGUGGCGAAGGCGGCUCACUGGCCCAUAACUGACGCUGAGCACGAAGCGUG
rnacentral:rRNA from 1 species